UUGAUCAAAACUCAGAGAACAAAAACCCAAACAGGGCCUUCCUCACAAGCGAUACUCCCUCCAAUUCUCACCACACAUUCCACCUCAACCUGCCAUUCACGAAAACCACAGACCCAGAAUCACACUUCCUUCCGUGAACUCGUCAUCAUCUCCCCAACUCUGCAACUCAGUCACCUCCACCGAAUGUCCAGCACACCGCCGUUCUUCACCUGUCCACCCUCUCCGCAUACAUCACCACCAAUUGCCUUCGUCCCCUUCCAUCUAGCUGCACGCAACACAUACUUCUCCAUCAGACUACCACAAACUUCAUCUAUCCUCCGUGAAUCACACAACAACACAGACACCGUCUACCACACUUCUCAGCUUCGUAUUCCCUCUAUCAAUAGCUUAACAACACAGUCCCACCAUUUCAUCACUUCACCUCAUAUUUUGUGA